GAGGGGUGGCUCCUGUCCCUCAGGGGAGCGGAGUUGACUAUUCAAGGGACUGGCUGGAUGAAUCGGGCUCUGUCUGAGUUUUUGUCCGGCACAUCCGAUGGUUCCGUCAAGAGUCAUCGAUGCUUGUCCUCCUGUUGCCGGAUGGUGGACGAGUGUCUUGUCGGGUUCCAGACGGUCUCAGAGCUUGCGGAAAAACCUUAAGCAGGUAAUGAACGAGUUGGUCAACCAUCUCAUCCGUGUGGGAAGGAGAUAUUCAAACAUGAGCCCAGAUGGCAUCGAGUUCAUCUUCAUAGAAGACAUAUGGCUCUGGGGUCCUGAGAAUGGUGACAGUCCAG
rnacentral:lncRNA from 1 species